UGUGGUUCUUCGCGGACGUCCCGCACUGCAUGAAGAACCUCCGCAACCAUAUUCUGGACGAUGGCCUGCACCUUUCUCGGGGAGAUGACCGAGGCGAGCCGGUGGUUGAUGCCGAUCUGCUGGAGGAGACGGUGAAGGUCGUCUCCACUCCCGAGUUCACCGUGGGCAGGAAACUCCCACCUCUGCACGUGCAUGCCUCCAAAGCAGACAGGCAGCGCGCGUAUACUUGGCAACGCAACUGCUCAGUGACGGUCAGUGACCUGCCGUGACGGUCGCACGCCGCUGUACCUGGCCGUACUGCAGCCCACCCGGAGCUGGCGGCCGCCCUGCCGUGACGGUCGCACGCCGCUGUACCUGGCCGUACUGCAGCCCACCCGGAGCUGGUGUCGCAGAUGCCAAGCUGCGAGAUGACGGGGGUUAUCGGCCGUCGUCCAAACGGUGUGCGCGGGCCCUCAUCUUGUCCGACGGCGCGCCCACUUCGCGACUGGCUCCGACCUCGCUUGGCGUUGGUACAAGAGCUGCCGGGAGUCGCCCUGCGUCCUCGGCGGGGAGCCGAGAUUCCGGGCGGGCCGACUCCAACGUUUCCACACGAUAUCGCUUUGAUAGCCAGGUUUCUUUCAAUGGUUAUUUCUGUAAUCGGUCACGAGGCGAAUCCUCGUUGAGCCUAAUUUGUUCUCCAGUCUGCCAAGUCUGGUUUGCUUUGUUGAUGCUGUACUACAUGCUGUACACAUGCUGUACCACAUGCUGUACUAUUAAAGGGUGUCAAAUAAAAAAACGAGUUAUGCUCAGGGCUGCGGAGUCGGAGUCUGAGUCGGUCGGAGUCGACAGUUGUGACCGGAGUCGGAGUCGGAGUCGGAGUCGAUUUUAGAAACCCGAGCCGGAG